UGAAGUAAGUAAGGGCGUACGGUGAAUGCCUUGGUGCCAACAGGCGAAGAAGGACGCGGCAAGCUGCGAAAAACCUCGGGAAGCUGCAAGCAAGCGAUGAUCCGGGGGUGUCCGAAUGGGGUAACCUGACUGGGGUAAUACCUGGUCGUUCAUACCUGAAUACAUAGGGUAUGAAACGCAAUACCCGCUGAAGUGAAACAUCUCAGUAAGCGGAGGAAAAGAAAGAGAAAUCGAUUCCGUAAGUAGUGGCGAGCGAAAGCGGAUGGAGCCCAAACCGAAGGUACUCCUUCGGGGUUGUAGGACCACGACAUAUUCGACCAUAGUGGAUAGUAGAACAGUCUGGAAAGGCUGGCCAUAGAAGGUGAAAGCCCUGUAGACGAAAUCCAGAGUGGGAAUUAGUGGUAUCCUGAGUAAUACAUCACACGUGGAACGAUGUAUGAAUCAGCGCGGACCACCGCGCAAGGCUAAAUACUAGUUGGCGACCGAUAGUGAACAAGUACCGCGAGGGAAAGGUGAAAAGAACCGCUGUGAGCGGAGUGAAAUAGAACCUGAAACCGUAUGUCUACAAAGUGUCAGAGCAGAGCAAUCUGCGAUGGCGUGCCUUUUGUUUAAUGAGUCUGCGAGUCAGUGUUUGUGGCAAGACUAAGGGCUUCCGGCCCGGAGUCGCAGCGAAAGCAAGUCCGAAUAGGGCGCAUUAAGUCGCAGGUACUGGACCCGAAGCGGAGGUGACCUACCCUUGGCCAGGUUGAAGCAUGGGUAAAACCAUGUGGAGGACCGAACAGGUGAACGUUGAAAAGUUCUCUGAUGAGCUGAGGGUAGGAGUGAAAGGCUAAUCAAACCCCGUGAUAGCUGGUUCUCUUCGAAAUGCAUUUAGGUGCAGCGUCACGUGCUGAUGCGCGGGGGUAGAGCACUGACAAGGCUAGGGGGCACACCCGCUUACCAAACCUUAUCAAACUCCGAAUACCGUGCAAUGGAACGUGGCAGUGAGACAGUGGGGGAUAAGCUUCAUUGUCGAGAGGGAAACAACCCAGACCAGCAGCUAAGGUGCCUAAAUAACGCUGAGUGGAAAGGAUGUGGGAUUACACAGACAGUGAGGAUGUUGGCUUAGAAGCAGCCACCAUUUAAAAAAUGCGUAAUAGCUUACUCAUCGAGUGAUCCUGCGCCGAAAAUGAUUGGCGAUCAAGCGUUAUACCGAAGCUCUGGACUUUGCCGCAAGGCAGAGUGGUAGAAGAGCGUUGCAUGCGCAUUGAAGGGUGAUGGCGACUGACCCUGGAGCGCAUGCAAGUGAGUAUGCAGACAUGAGUAACGUAAAGCCGGGUGAAAUCCCCGGCCGCCGUAAACCCGAGGUUUCCAGGGCAACGUGUUUCGUCCCUGGGUUAGCCGGGACCUAAGCCGAGGCCGAGAGGCGUAGGCGAUGGAUAUCAGGUUAAUAAUCCUGAGCUCGCGACCCUUAAACUGGGGGGACGCAUGAGAAGAGAUGACCAGGUUAUUGAAUUCCGAGCUGGGUCCACGGACCCAGCGCAUCAUCAAAUCGAGUGCCAAGAAAAGCCCCAGCGUAUGCUAAGCGACCCGUACCGCAAACCGACACAGGUGGGUGGGUAGAAUAUACCAAGGCGUAAGAGUGAAACCUGGUUAAGGAACUCGGCAAAUUAGCCCCGUAACUUCGGAAGAAGGGGUGCCUGCAGCGAUGCAGGCCGCAGAGAAAUGGCCCAACCGACUGUUUAUCAAAAACACAGCACUCUGCAAAGACGCAAGUCGAAGUAUAGGGUGUGACACGUGACCAAUGCCGAAAGAUUAAGGCAAGGGGUUAGCCGCAAGGCGAAGCUCUGAACCCAAGUCCCGGUGAAUGUCGGCCGUAACUAUAACGGUCCUAAGGUAGCGAAAUUCCUUGUCGGGU
rnacentral:rRNA from 1 species